rnacentral:rRNA from 1 species
CAUUGUGUAGUUUACACAGACCAUGCUGCAAUCAGAUAUUUACUCAGCAAGAAAGAAGCUAAGCCAAGGUUAAUUAGAUGGAUACUCCUGCUUCAAGAAUUUGAUGUGGAAAUCAAGGACAAGAAAGGAGCUGAAAAUGUUGUGGCAGAUCACUUGUCGAGAUUGCAAAACAAUGCAGUAGACUCCUUACCCAUCAAUGAUGUUUCACCAGGGAGCAAUCUUAUGAAAGUGACUAGUAUACAAAACUAUACACCAUGGUAUGCAGAUAUAGUUAAUUAUCUGUUCUGUAAAAAAGUUCCUACAGAUUUUGGGUAUCAGAAGAAGAAGAAAUUCCUAUCAGAUAUGAAGCAUUUCCUUUGGGAUGAACCUUACUUGUUCAAGCAUUGUGAUGAUGGUAUUGUUCGAAGAUGCUUGCCGGAAAGUGAAACUAAAAGUGUGAUUUAUCAUUGCCAUUCAUCCCCUUAUGGAGGUCAUGCAAGUACUCGAAAGACUCAAGCAAAAAUUUUGCAAGCAGGAUUUUAUUGGCCAACUUUAUUCAAGGAUGUGCAUUCCUUUCUUGAAGCUUGUGAUCCUUGUCAGAGAACUGGAAAGAUUUCAAAAAGGCAAGAGAUGCCUCAAAAAGGAAUUCUUGAAGUAGAGCUCUUUGAUGUAUGGGGAAUUGAUUAUGUUGGACCCUUGCCAUCAUCAAAAGGGUACAAAUACAUAUUGGUGGCA